AAUGACCUCAAAAUUAUAGGGUGAAUUGGAAUGAUAGAGAGAAGAUUAGCAUGACCCCGCACAAAAAUGACAUGGACAAAUCAUUGAGAAAUGGUCCAAAUUCAU